UCUAUAAUUUUCAAUAAUUUUUUUAAUGUAAAAAAAAUUGUAUUGGCAACACUUAUAAAUUGAUAAGCAGACGAGAAAUGGCGGUGCUCAAUAUGUAUUUUGAUUCAAAUUCGAUGUAGUAUUCGUUAGAAAGACUAUGAGAGAUACUCAUUUUAUGUUUGAAUGUAAUAUCUAUCUUUAUAACCGAAAAUGGAAGAUAGUGGUAUAGAUAGCGAUUCUAAAUCAAACAGUUAUGGUUGUGUAGGUGCUACCUCUGGCUGGAGUGGACAUGACACAUCGAUGGCUGCGAGGAAGGAAAACACGCCACAUGAAUCCAAUUUACAAGAGGCAGAAAAUCAGAAAGAUGAAAUUAAUGAAACCAUUCCUACAUCAUCAUCACAGUUGAUGACAACUGUUCAGCUACAAAAACGUCUUGAAAAGCAAAUACAGCAAGCAAGAAAAAUAAGAAAAGAAGUAGGAAAUGACAGUGAAGUUCACCCAAAAAAAUCACUUAUUUCACGAAACAGGUUGACAGUGCCUAGUAAAUCUCAAGUUCCUGUGGUGACUAAAUCUGAUGAGCAUCCAUUAGUAACAUGGGAAAGUGAAAGCAGUGAUGAUGACUAUGAAUUCCAUUCCAUGAGUAAAUCAACCACAAGAGAAAUAACUCAACAAUUAAUCAGAGAUGGAUAUAAUUUGGAUCUGACUCCUGAUGAUGAAGACCUUGACUUAAUACCACCAAAGCCAUUGAAUCAACGAUGUGCUUGUUUCUGUAUCAACUAGUUAUCAAGUUUGAUUUUGAAAUUUGAAGAAAAUAUUUAGGCCAUUCUGUGUCAAGGAUUGCAUGUAUGCUAUGAAAGUGCCAGACAUGAGAGCCCAACUUACAAGAAUUCUGGAUCCAUUAACAGAAUGAUUCCUAACAUGCUGGCUCGGACAUGAACCAAAAUCAAGUACAGACUGGAUGUUGUAUUUGCUACUCCAGGAGCACAUGUGGAAGUGUAUUGAAUUAAUAUAGAAUUUUAAGUUUUUGGAGACAAAAUAUGUCAGAUGUUUUCUUAUGAUUUCAUGUAGUUUUCCAGUGAAACUGUAUAAAAGAAAGUGAUUUUUUGCUCCAUUCAUGACAAGAGUUUACAAGAAAAGGUUUGAAAAAAAUACUUUUAUGUUUUAUUCAUAGAAAAUCAGUAUUCCUCUUUUCUAAAGGACUUUAUUUGCUUUAUAAAUUAUUUUUAUAUCUUUAUUUUACAUUGAAUCAAGUAGAUAUUUAAAAUAAAAUUGUAUUUUUCAAUAAAUAUGAAAUAAAAUGCAAAACUGUUUUAGUUGAAAGUUUUUAGCAAACUUCAACUGUAAUUUGAGAAACUAUUUUAAUUUGUUUUAAUUAGUUUGUUUAAUUAAUUAACAGUUUUGGUUAAUAAUUUACAAUUACAUAAAUAAUUCUAGUAUGUAAAUGUUAAUUUUUUCCUGCAAAAUUUAAAUAAGGAACACAGAUAUAUUUGUUAGUUAUCUGAAAAUUUACAAAAUGUCAUAUUCUGAUGACAUGUAAGUCUACAGUUAAUUUUUACAAACAAAUUUAUUUUUGUUUUAAUUGGUGUACUAUUUGACUAUAAAUGAUAUAUUAUUUUCUCUAUAAACUUGUAAAAAGUUUGGAAACAAAAAAAAAGUAUUUUUAUAUUUUAAAGUCUCAUUUUAACAUAGAAAAAUAACGACAAAUGUUUGGGACAUAUCAAGUUUUAUAUGCCUUUUCAAGUAGAUAAACAUUCCCUAUGAUAAAAAUGAGUUAUUCCAAACAGUGAUAUCAGUGUGCAGAUAAGUUAAAAGUUAAAAAAACAAUAUCUCUUAUUUUUUGUUUAGAUGUCUUCAUUUUAUUAAUCAUGCAUUUUUAUGUAAAAAAAUAUUUUUAAUGUAUGGAUUGUUUCCAAAUCCACUUUUUAAUUAUAUAAAAUAAUAAAAAGUUAAAUCCAACAAUGAAUAACAGAAUUUGUAUUUUCUUCUAAUUUUUUAGAAGGACCACUGCCUCUUGUACAGAUUUUAAAAGUAACUGGAAUUUUUUGCAUUUGUGAAAGUGCCAAUUUUCAGAUUUAUGGUAGUAUUCUGUUUUUUAAUUUUAUUCAUUUAUGUUUCUGUAAAAAAUGAGUUAUUUUUGUUUUGUUGAUUUUAAAUUAGUUGUAAUACAGUCAAUUCCGCUUAAUUGGGACAUAUCAGGGAUUGACUAAUUUGUCCUGAUAAAGCAACUGUCUCAAUAAAGCAAAUUUUAAGGGAACAGAUGAAAUCUUAAAUGAAAAAUGGACUAUAAAGACAAAAACUAUUUAUUGAAAAAUAUAAUUAAUAUUCAGUCUUAUGUACUGUACAAACAUGUGUAGCAUAUGUGUAAUUAGAUUUAAGUUCAAAAUUAACAUAUUAAAAUAUAAUCAUUAAAUUAAAAAAAGAACAGUUAUUUUUGCCAAAAUUUAUUGAAUGUUUCUUGAAUGCUUUCUCUUUAUACCUUGCAAGUAGAUAAAAUUGGCAGGCACAAGCAGGGCUGUGGAGUUAGUAAAAUACACUGGACUCCGAUUCUGACUCCUGAUAAUUUUAGUAGGCCAACUCCAACUCCCAACUCCAGCAAAAUUACCCUACAGCAUAAAUUACCAGGUCAUUUUAUGGGGGGCAGAGGUGUUCAUAGAAGUUACUCUACUCUGAACUCUGAAAGGAGUCCAGAGCAUUUACCCAAAUACUUUUAUAGUUAGUAUUUUUAAUAUUUAACUUACAUUAAUAUUUAUUUGUAUAAAAAAAAUUAAUUUUUAACAAAUAUUUAAUAAGAGGUAAAAGGGGAGCAAUAAAAUUCUGCAUCUACAUAUCUUUAUUCUACAGCUUUUGCACUUUAAUUUCACCUUUCCAGAAAAGUUAGUCCAACUAAAAAGUGUGUGAUCUAGCUACUUCAGCAGCCCCUUGUUCAGAAAAGAAAAAUAUAUACUCUGAUAAAUUAGUCUGGCUCAUUCAGAAAAAUAGAGUACUUAUUUAGAG